GUGCCCUUAGCUCAGCUUGGCCAGAGCACUCGUCUCCAAAACGAGGUGUCGGCGGUUCGAAUCCGUCAGGGUAUGCCA
rnacentral:tRNA from 1 species